rnacentral:rRNA from 1 species
CCUACGGGAGGCAGCAGUAAGGAAUAUUGGACAAUGGACGCAAGUCUGAUCCAGCCAUGCCGCGUGAAGGAUUAAGGCCCUCUGGGUUGUAAACUUCUUUUAUAGGGGACGAAAAAAGGGCUUUCUAGCUCGACUGACGGUACCCUAUGAAUAAGCACCGGCUAACUCCGUGCCAGCAGCCGCGGUAAUACGGAGGGUGCAAGCGUUAUCCGGAUUCACUGGGUUUAAAGGGUGCGUAGGCGGGCAGUUAAGUCAGUGGUGAAAUCUCUGGGCUCAACCCGGAAACUGCCAUUGAUACUAUCUGUCUUGAAUAUUGUGGAGGUGAGCGGAAUAUGUCAUGUAGCGGUGAAAUGCUUAGAUAUGACAUAGAACACCGAUUGCGUAGGCAGCUCGCUACACAUAUAUUGACGCUGAGGCACGAAAGCGUGGGGAUCAAACAGGAUUAGAUACCCUGGUAGUCCACGCCCUAAACUAUGAUUACUCGACAUAUGCGAUACACUGUAUGUGUCUGNGNGAAGANAUAGUAUACACGNGGAGUACGACGCGAGUAGAACGACGAAGAAGUAGAGGCGNGAGAGNGCGACGGACGACGACGAGGGAGGUAGG